rnacentral:rRNA from 1 species
AUUGAACGCUGGCGGCAGGCCUAACACAUGCAAGUCGAGCGCGCGGCGGACGGGUGAGUAAUGUCUGGGAAACUGCCUGAUGGAUGGGGAUACCUACUGGAAACGGUAGCUAUUACCGCAUACCUUCCACUUUGCCCUGAUGGGAUUAGCUAGUAGGUGGGGUAAUGGCUCACCUAGGCGACGAUCCCUAGCUGGUCUGAGAGGAUGACCAGCCACACUGGAACUGAGACACGGUCCAGACUCCUACGGGAGGCAGCAGUGGGGAAUAUUGCACAAUGGGCGCAAGCCUGAUGCAGCCAUGCCGCGUGUGUGAAGAAGGCCUUCGGGUUGUAAAGCACUUUCAGCGAGGAGGCGUUACUCGCAGAAGAAGCACCGGCUAACUCCGUGCCAGCAGCCGCGGUAAUUC